rnacentral:pre_miRNA from 1 species
AUUCUUUCAGUGUUGAAACAAUCUCUAUUGAGCCAAGCUCCAAAGCAAGUUCACUGGAGUUUGUUUCAAUAUUGCAAGAA